GAACUAACGCUAGCGAUGGCCCUAACACAUGCAAGUCGAACGGAAAGGCCCCUUCGGGGGUACUAAAGUGGCGAACGGGUGAGUAACAGGUGGAUAAUCUGCCUUCUGGCGGGGGAUAACGGUUGGAAACGACCGCUAAUACCGCAUGUCAUUGCAAGAUCUCCGGGUCUUGCAAAAAAAGACGGCGCUUCGGCGUCACCAGAAGAUGGGUCCGCCCCCCAUUAGCUAGUUGGUGUGAUAAUAGCGCACCAAGGCUGUGAUGGGUAGCCGAGCUGAGAGGUUGAUCGGCCACACUGGAACUGAGACACGGUCCAGACACCUACGGGUGGCAGCAGUAGGGAAUAUUGCGCAAUGGGCGAAAGCCUGACGCAGCCAUGCCGCGUGGAUGAUGAAGGCCUUCGGGUCGUAAAGUCCUUUUCUGAGGGAAGAACAAGUGGGGAAGGAAAUGUCCCCGCCCUGACGGUACCUUAGGAAUAAGCAACGGCUAACUCCGUGCCAGCAGCCGCGGUAAUACGGAGGUUGCAAGCGUUGUUCGGAAUUACUGGGCGUAAAGGGAGCGCAGGCGGCCAAGUCAGUCUGAAGUGAAAGUCCGGGGCUCAACCCCGGAAGUGCUUCGGAUACUACUUGGCUUGAGUACGUGAGAGGUGAGUGGAAUUUCAGGUGAAGCGGUGAAAUGCGUAGAUAUCUGAAGGAACAUCGGUGGCGAAAGCGGCUCACUGGCACGAAACUGACGCUGAGGCUCGAAAGCGUGGGGAGCGAACGGGAUUAGAUACCCCGGUAGUCCACGCCGUAAACGUUGUGCACUAGGUGUGGGAGGUAUCGACCCCUCCCGUGCCGCAGCUAACGCAUUAAGUGCACCGCCUGGGGAGUACGGUCGCAAGACUGAAACUCAAAGGAAUUGACGGGGGCCCGCACAAGCGGUGGAGCAUGUGGUUUAAUUCGAGGCAACGCGAAGAACCUUACCCAGCCUUGACAUCCCGUGACCGCCAUGGAAACAUGGUUUUCUCUUCGGAGACACGGUGACAGGUGUUGCAUGGCUGUCGUCAGCUCGUGUCGUGAGAUGUUGGGUUAAGUCCCGCAACGAGCGCAACCCUUGUCCUUAGUUACCAGCGGUUCGGCCGGGCACUCUAAGGAUACUGCCGGUGAUAAGCCGGAGGAAGGUGGGGACGACGUCAAGUCAUCAUGGCCCUUACGCCUGGGGCCACACACGUGCUACAAUGGCCGGUACAAUGAGCUGCUAAGCCGCGAGGUGGAGCGAAUCUCAAAAAGCCGGUCUCAGUUCGGAUAGGAGUCUGCAAUUCGACUCCUUGAAGUCGGAAUCGCUAGUAAUCGCGUAUCAGCUACGACGCGGUGAAUACGUUCCCGGGCCU
rnacentral:rRNA from 1 species